UACGAAGGGGGGCUAGCGUUGCUCGGAAUUACUGGGCGUAAAGGGCGCGUAGGCGGACAGUUAAGUCAGAGGUGAAAGCCCAGGGCUCAACCCUGGAAUAGCCUUUGAUACUGGCUGUCUUGAGUGCGGGAGAGGUGUGUGGAACUCCGAGUGUAGAGGUGAAAUUCGUAGAUAUUCGGAAGAACACCAGUGGCGAAGGCGACACACUGGCCCGUAACUGACGCUGAGGCGCGAAAGCGUGGGGAGCAAACAGG
rnacentral:rRNA from 1 species